CGCUGGCGGCACGCCUAACACAUGCAAGUCGAACGAAGUAGCAAUACUUAGUGGCAGACGGGUGAGUAACAUGUAGGUAUCUUCCCUUUGGCCUGGAAUAACACGAGGAAACUUGUGCUAAUACCGGAUAAGUCUUUACAGAGAAAGCUUUAUGCACCAUUGGAUGAGCCUGCACUUGAUUAGUUUGUUGGUAGGGUAAUGGCCUACCAAGACUGUGAUCAAUAGCUGAUUUGAGAGGAUGAUCAGCCACAUUGGGACUGAGACACGGCCCAAACUCCUACGGGAGGCAGCAGUGGGGAAUCUUGCACAAUGGAGGAAACUCUGAUGCAGCGAUGCCGCGUGAGUGAAGAAGGCCUUUGGGUUGUAAAGCUCUUUCGUCGGGGAAGAAAAUGACUGUACCCGAAUAAGAAGGUCCGGCUAACUUCGUGCCAGCAGCCGCGGUAAUACGAAGGGACCUAGCGUAGUUCGGAAUUACUGGGCUUAAAGAGUUCGUAGGUGGUUGAAAAAGUUGGUGGUGAAAUCCCAGAGCUUAACUCUGGAACUGCCAUCAAAACUUUUCAGCUAGAGUUUGAUAGAGGAAAGCAGAAUUUCUAGUGUAGAGGUGAAAUUCGUAGAUAUUAGAAAGAAUACCAAUUGCGAAGGCAGCUUUCUGGAUCAAUACUGACACUGAGGAACGAAAGCAUGGGUAGCGAAGAGGAUUAGAUACCCUCGUAGUCCAUGCCGUAAACGAUGUGUGUUAGACGUUGGAAAUUUAUUUUCAGUGUCGCAGCGAAAGCGAUAAACACACCGCCUGGGGAGUACGACCGC
rnacentral:rRNA from 1 species